GUUUUGCGUGGGAUCCAAGAAUUCUUUCCGUCAUUGAAGCCGAAGCCUUAGCACUGAAAGAUGCAAUUCUCAGAGCUAUGUCUUCGCACUUGGAGCUUGUUACAUUUGAAAGAGAUUCCCAAUGA